rnacentral:rRNA from 1 species
AGGAUUAACGCUGGCGGCGUGCCUAACACAUGCAAGUCGAACGAGGUAGCAAUACCUAGUGGCAGACGGGUGAGUAACACGUGGUCAACCUACCCUCGAGUGGGGGAUAACUAGCCGAAAGGUUAGCUAAUACCGCAUAAAACGUGCCGGGGCAUCCCGGAACGUUAAAAGGAGCAAUCCUCUCGUUGACGGGACCGCGUCCGAUUAGCUAGUUGGUGGGGUAAUGGCCUACCAAGGCUCCGAUCGGUAGCUGGUUUGAGAGAGCGACCAGCCACACUGGGACUGAGAAACGGCCCAGACUCCUACGGGAGGCAGCAGUGAGGAAUUUCCGCAAUGGGCGAAAGCCUGACGGAGCGACGCCGCGUGUGGGAAGAAGGCCUUCGGGUCGUAAACCACUGUCGAAGGGGACUACAAUGAAGGUACCCUUGGAGGAAGCCCCGGCUAACUACGCGCCAGCAGCCGC